rnacentral:lncRNA from 1 species
UAUUGGAUAGUUUAUCCUUGCACUCGUUCGUCCAUUUGAACGUCUCUUUUUAUUUCAAAGUGGAAAAGAAAUGAAAUGUCUUUCCACCUACACAAGAAAGAAAAUGGGAUAGGGUGGAUAACAGCCUUGUUAGUUGUUUAACCUCUUUAAUACUGGAUGUACUCCUCAUGUUGAUGAUGGCUUAACACUUUUCUAGAUUCUCC